AUUGAACGCUGGCGGCAGGCCUAACACAUGCAAGUCGAACGAGUGGAGGACGGGAGAGUAAUGUCUGGGAAACUGCCAGUCGGAGGGGGAUAACUACUGGAAACGGUAGCUAAUACCGCAUACCAUCGGAUGUGCCCUGAUGGGAUUAGCUAGUAGGGGGGGUAAAGGCUCACCUAGGCGACGAUCCCUAGCUGGUCUGAGAGGAUGACCCGCCACCCUGGGACUGAGACACGGCCCAGACUCCUACGGGAGGCAGCAGUGGGGAAUUUUGGACAAUGGGCGCAAGCCUGAUCCAGCCAUGCCGCGUGUCUGAAGAAGGCCUUCGGGUUGUAAAGUACUUUUGGCAGGGAAGCGGUACCCGAAGAAUAAGCACCGGCUAACUACGUGCCAGCAGCCGCGGUAAUAC
rnacentral:rRNA from 1 species